ACGCGACUUCUGGGUCGGAGGGCGGAGGAUGUGGCAAGAGCCCGAGGCGGAGAGAAGGCAGGCGCGCACAAGCUGGCGAGCACGGCCCCAGCUGGGAAACAGAGCAGCGCCCCCUGGACGUUUGGAGGUCGAGGAGCAAGCGGGAGAGAGUGCUGGGGAGAGAGGAAGAGCGGAGGAAACGUGUCCCUUUUCUCUGGCGCGCUUCUUAAAUGUACCGAGUAGAACAAACCCGCUUGCAUUUUGUUCUGAUGUGUAACUCAAGAACUGCUCAUGCUUUCGAGCCGGCCCCACUCUGCCCUUCCAAAAGUUUGGGAGGUGACCCAGGGACUUAUACUUAAUUGCCAAUCUGAAUAUCGGUUGGCUGCCACCCUUAGCGUCCCUAUGGUGAUAGGAUUUUAAUUAUUCACUUUAACCUCAUUAAAGUGGGCAGGGUGCUGUGUCACAAGGUCAAAAGUCGUUGUGAAUUACUAGAAGAGAUGAUGAAAGCAGAACAUUUUACAAAGCCUGAAGCACUAAAAAGAAGCAGCGUGAAAGGUGGUCUAUUAUCUAGUCCAAACUUAUUUUAUAGAAGUGGUAAAAUGAGAUCUAGGAAAAUGACCUAUCCCUGCCAACAGAGAAUUUAGAUAAGUUGUUCAAUUGUGUUGGACUCUUCGUGAUCCUAUGGACAACAGCUUCAAACCUGUUGGUGAAUGACCGAGUUGUCUGCCCCACGAAUGGGAAGAUCAGCCCCCAUGGAAUGGACAAAUGAGAAAGGCAGCAGAA